UACGAAGGGGGCUAGCGUUGCUCGGAAUCACUGGGCGUAAAGGGAGCGUAGGUGGCCUUAUAAGUCAGCGGUGAAAGACUAGAGCUUAACUCUGGAAUUGCCAUUGAUACUGUAGGGCUUGAGUAUAGUUGCUGUGGGCGGAAUAUGACAUGUAGUGGUGAAAUACUUAGAGAUGUCAUAGAACACCGAUUGCGAAGGCAGCUCACAAAACUAUAACUGACACUGAGGCUCGAAAGUGCGGGGAUCAAACAGG
rnacentral:rRNA from 1 species